rnacentral:rRNA from 1 species
GAUGAACGCUGGCGGCGUGCCUAAUACAUGCAAGUCGAGCGAACAGACGAGGAGCUUGCUCCUCUGACGUUAGCGGCGGAUGGGUGAGUAACACGUGGAUAACCUACCUAUAAGACUGGGAUAACUUCGGGAAACCGGAGCUAAUACCGGAUAAUAUAUUGAACCGCAUGGUUCAAUAGUGAAAGACGGUUUUGCUGUCACUUAUAGAUGGAUCCGCGCCGCAUUAGCUAGUUGGUAAGGUAACGGCUUACCAAGGCAACGAUGCGUAGCCGACCUGAGAGGGUGAUCGGCCACACUGGAACUGAGACACGGUCCAGACUACUACGGGAGGCAGCAGUAGGGAAUCUUCCGCAAUGGGCGAAAGCCUGACGGAGCAACGCCGCGUGAGUGAUGAAGGUCUUCGGAUCGUAAAACUCUGUUAUUAGGGAAGAACAAAUGUGUAAGUAACUAUGCACGUCUUGACGGUACCUAAUCAGAAAGCCACGGCUAACUACGUG